UACAGAGGUCUCAAGCGUUGUUCGGAUUCAUUGGGCGUAAAGGGUGCGUAGGCGGCGCGGUAAGUCGGGUGUGAAAUCUCGGAGCUUAACUCCGAAACUGCAUUCGAUACUACCGUGCUUGAGGACUGGAGAGGAGACUGGAAUUUACGGUGUAGCGGUGAAAUGCGUAGAUAUCGUAAGGAAGACCAGUGGCGAAGGCGGGUCUCUGGGCCGUAACUGACGCUGAGGAGCGAAAGCGUGGGGAGCGAACAGG
rnacentral:rRNA from 1 species